AGCGAACGUUUGCGGCGGGCCUAACACAUGCAUGUCGAACGCACUAGCAAUAGUGAGUGGCGCACGGGUGCGUAACACGUGGGUAAUCAACCCUUCAGCUUGGGAUAACGACUUGAAAGGGUCGCUAAUACCGGAUACGGCGCGAGAGGCUUCGGCAUCUCACGAGAAAGCCUCGCAAGGGGCACUGAAGGACGAGCCUGCGGCCCGUCAGCUAGUUGGUGAGGUAAGAGCACACCAAGGCGAAGACGGGUAGCUGGUCUGAGAGGAUGAUCAGCCACACUGGAACUGAGACACGGUCCAGACUCCUACGGGAGGCAGCAGUGGGGAAUAUUGCGCAAUGGGCGAAAGCCUGACGCAGCCACGCCGCGUGAGCGAUGAAGGCCUUCGGGUCGUAAAGCUCUGUGGGGAGAGACGAAGAAAGCCCGUGAAGAGCGGGCCUUGACGGUAUCUCCUUAGCAAGCACCGGCUAACUCCGUGCCAGCAGCCGCCGUAAAAC
rnacentral:rRNA from 1 species